rnacentral:rRNA from 1 species
UGGGGAAUAUUGCGCAAUGGGGGAAACCCUGACGCAGCGACGCCGCGUGAGCGAUGAAGGCUUUAGGGUUGUAAAGCUCUGUUUUAAGGGACGAAUGUUACGGGGAGUAAUAUGCCCUGUAAAUGACGGUACCUUAAGAGGAAGCUCCGGCUAACUACGUGCCAGCAGCCGCGGUAAGACGUAGGGGGCGAGCGUUUUCCGGAAUUACUGGGCGUAAAGAGCACGUAGGCGGGACUUUAAGUCAGGUGUGAAAGACCGGGGCUCAACCACGAGGUCACACGUGAAUCUGGGGAUCUUGAGGACAGGAGAGGAAAGUAG